rnacentral:rRNA from 1 species
AUUGAACGCUGGCGGCAGGCCUAACACAUGCAAGUCGAACGGUAGCACAGAGAGCUUGCUCUCGGGUGACGAGUGGCGGACGGGUGAGUAAUGUCUGGGAAACUGCCCGAUGGAGGGGGAUAACUACUGGAAACGGCAGCUAAUACCGCAUAACGUCGCAAGACCAAAGUGGGGGACCUUCGGGCCUCACACCUUCGGAUGUGCCCGGAUGGGAUUAGAUAGUAGGUGGGGUAAUGGCUCACCUAGGCGACGAUCCCUAGCUGGUCUGAGAGGAUGACCAGCCACACUGGAACUGAGACACGGUCCAGACUCCUACGGGAGGCAGCAGUGGGGAAUAUUGCACAAUGGGCGCAAGCCUGAUGCAGCCAUGCCGCGUGUAUGAAGAAGGCCUUCGGGUUGUAAAGUACUUUCAGCGGGGAGGAAGGCGGUGAAGUUAAUAACUUCACCGAUUGACGUUACCCGCAGAAGAAGCACCGGCUAACUCCGUGCCAGCAGCCGCAGUAA